AGGAAUAAGGACACUCGGCUUUGGCCAUGACUCAAAUGUGGGGGUCACGACAGCCGACGGUAACCUGAAUGAGCUUAUACAUAAACUGCCCGUUUUGCGACUCAAAAAGUCAGUUUGCUUGCUGUCGAGAACAAAGUGCGCCUGAUAAAGGCAGACGGCUCACUGGAGAAACGGGCUAUUAUGAGGAGGAGUUCGGCACUGUGUCACUAACAAUGGAGCAAACAAAGGAUCUGUUGUCUUCCCAAACCGGACGAACGCAAAACCAGAUGUUGAGUCUGUGCUGUGGCAUUAGCUGGCAGCCAGCAUGAAAAAGUCAUUUGUGAGUGUUCUGAUUGCUCCUUACGAACAAACAAACAGGCACCGGCAGCACGACUAUCUGAGGAAGAUCUCGCGCAAAGCAGAACGGAUGAUCUGGGAGGACAGCGCCACAUCUGGUUGUCGUUAAAGGCUUGUUUUGCUGCGUCCUGCAGACUCGGUGCCAUAGGCUCCAACUGCUCCAGCAAGAAGGGUUCAUACUGACUUGAAACCAACAAGUGGUGCCUGGAAGACUCCCCACAGAGGUCAGCGUCGGGACUCACCGGCCCAGGAGACAAUGGAUCAGGACUCGGCAGACUGAGCCGUGAAACAAACACUGGAGCGGUUCGAAGCAGAGACACAGAGUAGGAUGUUAGCCACGUG